CAGAGUUCAUGCCCUAACGGGUAGAUCUCCCACCCUAUGUUAUCAUCACUUUGUUGCUUUGGCGGGCCGUCAGGCCUCGGCUUGGCUACCGGCUCUCGCUGGUAAGCGCCCGCCAGAGAACCCCAAACCCUGAAUAUCAGUGUCGUCUGAGUACUAUAUAAUAGUUA
rnacentral:misc_RNA from 1 species